CCAGAACGGCUGCUGAACCCAUGGUCCUCCCUAAGGCCCUGUGUCCUUUGGAGGCAUUCUGUGUCCACGGACUGGCAUUCCCCAAAGAAUGCAAUCUAGGAGGUGAGAAUGGGACAACUGAGAAUAACCUCUGCCUUUGCAAGAACUUUUGCCUUGAAGAACACACCAAGAGUCUUAUGGAGAGUGUCUUAAAUCCCUUCUGCACAUUCUUUAAAACAGGUUUACAGAUCAGAGAGAGAACCAAAUUGGUAAUGAGUGAAAACAGAACAACGUGGCCCAGAUGAUGGCUGCUAUACUCCAGCUACUUGUUUCUGAUGGAAGAGGCUGUCAAAACUCUGGGGAGCAUGCUCAUCAUGUGUGCUAAGAACUAAGUGUACCUAGCACAUAGUACAAGGUAAGAGACAAAAGAACUGGACGUGCUCAAGAAGUUUUUUUAUUUUACAUCUCACCAAGUAAGUGGCAACAGAACUGAAGAAAACAAGGUUAGCCUUCCAGAUUCGCAUACUCUUCAAACUUCCUCUCCUGAAAUAUGCUGCAGUCCAUCACACUUAACCUACUCUUUCCACACCUCCAGAAGGAGAUACCCACAGAUGCACCUAUUUACUUUGGCAUGAACUCAAAGAAACAAGCUUGCAAAGCUGGCCCUUUCUUUGUGCAUUAACUUCAAUUUCUCCUUUCCACACACACACUGAAAGAACAUCAGGUAAAUCCAUUUACUUCCGCCCCCUCAUCCCACUGCUGCUCCUAAAGUGACAUAUUAAUUAUGGCUCGUUUGAAAUUUUCUCUUACAAAUGUAGGCUCAGACUUCAACACCUAAAUGAAUUAUAUAUACGCUAUGCAAGACUGUUUGUUUCAGGUUUCUUAAAGGAAGAAAAUGAAUGCAGUGUAUUAAUCAUCAAACCGAUGUCCCUGAUGGAAAAAUAAAUUAUUUAAAUGAGUAA